rnacentral:rRNA from 1 species
GGACGAACGCUGGCGGCGUGCUUAACACAUGCAAGUCGAACGGAAAGGCCCUGCUUUUGUGGGGUGCUCGAGUGGCGAACGGGUGAGUAACACGUGAGUAACCUGCCCUUGACUUUGGGAUAACUUCAGGAAACUGGGGCUAAUACCGGAUAGGAGCUCCUGCUGCAUGGUGGGGGUUGGAAAGUUUCGGCGGUUGGGGAUGGACUCGCGGCUUAUCAGCUUGUUGGUGGGGUAGUGGCUUACCAAGGCUUUGACGGGUAGCCGGCCUGAGAGGGUGACCGGCCACAUUGGGACUGAGAUACGGCCCAGACUCCUACGGGAGGCAGCAGUGGGGAAUAUUGCACAAUGGGCGGAAGCCUGAUGCAGCAACGCCGCGUGUGGGAUGACGGCCUUCGGGUUGUAAACCGCUUUCGCCUGUGACGAAGCGUGAGUGACGGUAAUGGGUAAAGAAGCACCGGCUAACUACGUG